rnacentral:misc_RNA from 1 species
GAAAUGCGAUAAGUAAUGUGAAUUGCAGAAUUCAGUGAAUCAUCGAAUCUUUGAACGCACAUUGCGCCCGCCGGUAUUCCGGCGGGCAUGCCUGUUCGAGCGUCAUUUCAACCCUCAAGCACCGCUUGGCGUUGGGGCGUUAGGUACCCUAGGGGACCUAAGCCCUCAAAUUCAGUGGCGGGCUCGCUAAGACUCUGAGCGCAGUAAUUUCGCGGUAAAACGCGGUUCGCUUCGGGUACGUCUAGGCGGGUGCCGGCCGUUAAACCCCCAAAUUUUACACAAGGUUGACCUCGGAUCAGGUAGGAAUACCCGCUGAACUUAA